ensembl:lncRNA
UUCCUUGGGCACCUGCCAUGCAGCAGGGCCCGAUUUCAGGGGCUGCAGCCAGCAGUGGAAGAAUUAGACCCAUCUGGAAAGAUGUGGCAGUUGUGGCAGAUUAAGUUCUCCGGACUCUCUCUGGUCAUUUGUCUGGAACCACUGGCUGUUCAGCGCAGGGAGUCAGGAGUCGUGGGCCACGCCUGCCACCAAGAGUGAAGACCAAGCAGUGAAUGAGCUCCGAGACUUCUCAGGCCUUCACCCCGUCAUCACUUCUGCUGGAGUGUCCUUCUUCACUGGAUCCACCCUCAGAUUCUCCACAGCUGCACUCCACCCUGCCCCCAUCCCACUGUUUCGCACCAGGGUGUAUACUUACCUCAUGCACCUACUCAACUAGACUUCCUGACGACACGGCUGCGCCUUGUCUUCACAGACUCCCCAGGACGCACGCAGGGGUAGUCGUCAGUUGGACCUUGGGUGAACAAGGAAGGAAGGGAGGGAGAGAAAGUUGAGGGAAGGAGGGAGUGAGGGAGAGAGCAAGGCAGAGCUGGGGGCUGGUGGACCAUUAUCCUAGGCCGUUCUCAAGUUGGGGCAGACCCUGUUGGUUCAUCUCUGCUAACAGAAUUCUAUCUUCGCCCUGCCCUCUUCUAAGAAGCCUCAUUCUUCAGUGGAGACUGUGUCCCUCUCAAGCCAUAAGGGUUGACUUCUGCUUAGACUAAGAUCACCAUGGUGGUCUUCUUCUCUUGGCCAGUGAGUGGCCUGGGUGUAGACAUAAGCCACAAACCAGCCACUGAGAUGUGAGAGGAGUUCUGAGAAAUGUCCCUUACUUUUAUAAAUAGACAGGGACCAGCGACAUAUCCCUUUCUUCACUUUGAACAUUGUUGAGUGAGGAUAUGUUACUUGGAGAGGUUGCAGCCAUCUUGCCACAAUGAGGUGAUAAGUCCUAGGUCCAUGGCCCACAGACUGAGGAUGGCAGAGAGGAAAGGCAGAAAGAAACCGAGUCCUUCAGGACAUGACUGAGAUGAUGAAUCAGGCACACACAACUGGACUGCCCUUUCUCAAAACAGUAGCGCCCUCAUUUCAAAACCGCUUUAGGUAGGGUUUUCUCUUGCUGCCAGCUGAAAGCGCUCUAACUGAUGUAGCAGAGGAAUAGGAGCUUUGGUCCAUACCACACAGAUCGGGGGAUUGCAAUGAUGGCAACGACAAUAAUAG